rnacentral:rRNA from 1 species
GACGAACGCUGGCGGCGUGCUUAACACAUGCAAGUCGAACGGAAAGGCCCUGCUUUUGUGGGGUGCUCGAGUGGCGAACGGGUGAGUAACACGUGAGUAACCUGCCCUUGACUUUGGGAUAACUUCAGGAAACUGGGGCUAAUACCGGAUAGGAGCUCCUGCUGCAUGGUGGGGGUUGGAAAGUUUCGGCGGUUGGGGAUGGACUCGCGGCGUAUCAGCUUGUUGGUGGGGUAGUGGCUUACCAAGGCUUGGCCGGGUAGCCGGCCUGAGAGGGUGACCGGCCACAUUGGGAUGGAGAUAAGGCACAGACUCCAAUGGGAGGCAGCAGUGGAGAAUAGUGCACAAGGGGCGGAAGCAUGAUGCAGCAACGCCGCGUGCGGGAUGACGGCAUGCGGGUAGGAUACCGCUUUCGCCUGUGACGAAGCGUGAGUGACGGUAAUGGGUAAAGAAGCACCGGCUAACUACGUG